GCGGCGGUGGCGCAGUGGUGACGCAGCAGAUUUAGGUUCUGUGGCCCCUGACAGGGCUUGAGGGUUCGAAUCCCUUCCGCCGCA
rnacentral:tRNA from 1 species